CUAACCGUAAACGAUGACAACCAGCGAUUAAUCGGUCGUUAAUAUAUGACCCGAUUAGCAGCUUCCGGGAAACCAAAGUUUUUCGUUUCCGGGGGAAGUAUGGUUGCAAAGCUGAAACUUAAAGGAAUUGACGGAAGGGCACCACCAGGAGUGGAGCCUGCGGCUUAAUUUGACUCAACACGGGAAAACUCACCCGGCCCGGACACCGUAAGGAUUGACAGACUGAGAGCUCUUUCUUAAUUCGGUGGGUGGUGGUGCAUGGCCGUUCUUAGUUGGUGGAGCGAUUUGUCUGGUUAAUUCCGAUAACGAACGAGACUCUGGCCUAUUAAAUAGACGAUAUAUUUAAAAGUAUAUCGCGCUUCUUAGAGGGACAAGCGGCGUCUAGCCGCAUGAAAUAGAGCAAUAACAGGUCUGUGAUGCCCUUAGAUGUCCGGGGCUGCACGCGCGCUACACUGAAAGAAUCAGUGUGCGUUACGCCUAGUUCGGAAGAACCGGGUAACCCAAGUAAAUUCUUUCGUGCUUGGGAUAGGGAAUUGCAAUUAUUUCCCUUAAACGAGGAAUUCCCAGUAAAUGCGGGUCAUAAGCUCGCGUUG
rnacentral:rRNA from 1 species